GGGGGCGCAAGGCUUCGACGGAACUAGCUCUUUAACAACUGCAAGCCGCCAAUGAUUCAAAGGCGUAAAGGUGAAUCAAAAAAAUAAGUGUCAGCAAAUUGCGUGACCUAAGGGAUCGUGCUGUAGCUUUCGUCAGUUAUUUAACUGAAGAUGUUAGACUAGCGUUCGCUCCUCUGGCUUUGGCUAUCGCUUAAAAGCGCUUAUAGCCAAACCGGCAUCUGAAUCUGUCUUCCCCAAGGGAUUGGUUCAGGUGAAAACUUACUUAGGGCAUAGGCUUGUUGAUAGCUGUAAACAAGCCGGAGUUAAUUCAGCUAACCGCUAGAUGAUAAGGUUUUUGCCAAACAAACCCAUCAGCGUAAAAAUUUGGCUAAGCUUGUAGGUGUUGCUAAAAAGUUGUUUCGGACCCCGGUUCAAAUCCGGGCGCCUCCACUC
rnacentral:tmRNA from 1 species